AACGUAGGAGACAAACGUUAUCCGGAGUUACUGGGCGUAAAGGGCGUGUAGGCGGUUUGUUAAGUCUGGCGUGAAAGCUCUCGGCUAAACCGGGAGAGGUCGUUGGAUACUGGCAACUAGAGGACGGUAGAGGCGUGUGGAAUUCCGGGUGUAGUGGUGAAAUGCGUAGAGAUGUGGAGGAACACCAGUGGCGAAGGCGACUCUUUGGUCUGUAACUGACGCUGAGGCGCGAAAGCGUGGGGAGCAAACAGG
rnacentral:rRNA from 1 species